UACGAAGGGGGCUAGCGUUGUUCGGAAUUACUGGGCGUAAAGCGCGCACAGGCGGUCCUUCAAGUCAGGGGUGAAAGCCCAGGGCUCAACCCUGGAAUGGCCUUUGAGACUAGAGGACUUGGGUACGGGAGAGGUGAGUGGAAUUCCGAGUGUAGAGGUGAAAUUCGUAGAUAUUCGGAAGAACACCAGUGGCGAAGGCGGCUCACUGGCCCGUUACCGACGCUCAGGCGCGAUAGCGUGGGGAGCAAACAGG
rnacentral:rRNA from 1 species